rnacentral:rRNA from 1 species
GACGAACGCUGGCGGCGUGCUUAACACAUGCAAGUCGAACGGAAAGGCCCUGCUUUUGUGGGGUGCUCGAGUGGCGAACGGGUGAGUAACACGUGAGUAACCUGCCCUUGACUUUGGGAUAACUUCAGGAAACUGGGGCUAAUACCGGAUAGGAGCUCCUGCUGCAUGGUGGGGGUUGGAAAGUUUCGGCGGUUGGGGAUGGACUCGCGGCUUAUCAGCUUGUUGGUGGGGUAGUGGCUUACCAAGGCUUUGACGGGUAGCCGGCCUGAGAGGGUGACCGGCCACAUUGGGACUGAGAUACGGCCCAGACUCCUAAGGGAGGCAGCAGUGGGGAAUAUUGCACCAUGGGCGGAAGCCUGAUGGCGCAACGCCGCGUGCGGGAAGACGGCCUUCCGGUUGUAAACCGCUUUCGCCUGUGACGAAGCGUGAGUGAAGGUAAUGGGUAAAGAAGCAACGGCUAACUAAGUG